rnacentral:tRNA from 1 species
AGGCGUAUAGCUCAGUUGGUAGAGCGGCGGUCUCCAAAACCGCAGGUCGAGGGUUCGAAGCCUUCUGCGCCUG